GAUGAACGCUGGCGUCCCUACUACCUGCAAGUCGAGCGAACAGACGAGGAGCUUGCUCCUCUGACGUUAGCGGCGGACGGGUGAGUAACACGUGGAUAACCUACCUAUAAGACUGGGAUAACUUCGGGAAACCGGAGCUAAUACCGGAUAAUAUAUUGAACCGCAUGGUUCAAUAGUGAAAGACGGUUUUGCUGUCACUUAUAGAUGGAUCCGCGCCGCAUUAGCUAGUUGGUAAGGUAACGGCUUACCAAGGCAACGAUGCGUAGCCGACCUGAGAGGGUGAUCGGCCACACUGGAACUGAGACACGGUCCAGACUCCUACGGGAGGCAGCAGUAGGGAAUCUUCCGCAAUGGGCGAAAGCCUGACGGAGCAACGCCGCGUGAGUGAUGAAGGUCUUCGGAUCGUAAAACUCUGUUAUUAGGGAAGAACAAAUGUGUAAGUAACUAUGCACGUCUUGACGGUACCUAAUCAGAAAGCCACGGCUAACUACGUG
rnacentral:rRNA from 1 species